rnacentral:ncRNA from 1 species
GGUCAUUAUCACCACAAUAGAUGGCGCUGUUUGCAACUUUAUACCAGGCUAUACCUAUAUAUAUACAUAUCGACUUUGUUUUAUAACUCAAGAAGUGGGCCGACAAUUUUACUUUGAACAAAUUAGAGUGCUCAAAGCGGGCUCAAAAUGCUGCUUGAAUAUUUCGUGCAUGGAAUAAUAGAAUAUGAUCUCGGUUUUAUUUUGUUGGUUUUCAGAACUCCGAGGUAAUGAUUAAUAGGGAUAACUGGGGGCAUUCGUAUUGCGAUGUUAGAGGUGAAAUUCUUGGAUCGUCGCAAGACGAACAUCAGCGAAAGGUGUUUUCAUCAAUCAAGAACGAAAGUUAGAAGUACGAAGGCGAUUAGAUACCACCCUAGUUCUAACCGUAAAUAUGUCAUCUAGCGAUAAAAUUGACGCAAUUUUGAAAAAAGAAAUGAAU